ensembl:lncRNA
AGGCUGGCGGCGGCCGUAGUCCCCCUGAGUCAUCAAUCAGGCCUGUCUGCGGAGGGCCCCAGCACGCAGGGUGGGGGGUGCAGGAUUUUAAACUCAAAAGAGGCUCCAACACGGCAGCACUGUGAGGUGCCGAGGGCCUGAAGAUACCUACAGCCCCCAGAAAGUCAGCUCCCUCACCCACCUGGGCAUAAGAUGGCAGACAUGGGUCCCAAGGGCCCUCAGAGAGAUCUUGGAACACUAAUGGCUCCUGGGGAGGCCAGCACCCAAUCUAGAGAACCCCAGAGGUGCUGAACCUGAGGAGAGCCCUAUGCCCAGUCUUCCCGAUUAUUGAGGGCUAGCUUACCUCUCUCUCCAGGGAUGCUGAGAUGUUGGCAGGGACAGACAGGACUGCUGGAGCCAUAGGUCUUAUCAUCUGGUUUGAUGAGUCCAAGGUCACAGCACUGGGAAAGUAUGGAGGGGAUAUUUGAUUCCUUGGUGGCAGUGUCUACAGUGUGGGCCAGGAGAUGUGGAAGGAGAUCAGGAGGGCCGAGGAGGGAAGGAGAUCCCAGAGGGGAUCUUGGAGGUCUGUCUCAGCUUGGGACCAGGAGUUGAAAAUGAGGAAGAAGUAGACCCAGCAGCGUGGGCCAGCAAAGAAUGCCUACUGUGUGUCUGGCAGCGUGCUGGCAAGUCCCGCUUUGGUAAUCACAGCCAGAAAAACCAGAGGAGAUUGUGGGAAAUAUUCAC